GUUUUAGCCUCAUCUCAUCAAUUUCACUUGGCUGAUUACUUCUUGGAAGACAUGGAUGAUGCUCAUUCUACUCUCAAUUUCCUUGAGGAAGGGAAUCAAAUAAGAACCAAGAAGAGUUGUGCCAAAUACAGGGUUGGAUUCAAGAACCCUAUGAAGGAAGCAAGACAUGGAAUAUCUACAUGCAAGAAGCUGCUAAAGGUGUUGAAUAUUCUGAAAGAUAGGCUUGCCUUUUUUUAUCAACAUUUCAAUGUCCGGCAUUACUUCGAAGUGGUUUGGUGAAGGAGAAAAAUAUGUCAAAGCAAGCAGUCUUUCAAAUGGCCAACAAGAUUGCUCCAUGUGUUAUUUUCAUUCAUUAAUGUUAUUAGUUCAUUAAUGUCUGC